UACGUAGGGGGCAAGCGUUGUCCGGAUUCAUUGGGCGUAAAGCGCUUUAAGGCGGUUCGGUAAGGCGGGUGUGAAACCUCCAGGCUCAACCUGGAGACGCCACUCGAUACUGCUGUGACUAGAGUUCGGUAGGGGAUCACGGAAUUCCUGGUGUAGCGGUGAAAUGCGCAGAUAUCAGGAGGAACACCGGUGGCGAAGGCGGGGAGCUGGGCCGACACUGACGCUGUAGAGCGAAAGCGUGGGGAGCGAACAGG
rnacentral:rRNA from 1 species